GUUGUGUAACAUGCAUAUAUCUUCGGUCAAGCAUGAAGAAACACAGAAUUUCACCAAUAUACGGUGGAAUACAUAUCGAAAUUUUCGGCAGCGGCUAGAAUUGAAGGGUGAGUGCAGAGACGUAGCAGAACAUUUUAAGCAAUGUAUUGAGUUGGAGUUUGACGAAAUUCCCGAGGAUGCGGCUCUCCAUCCCACAUGCUACCGGAGGUUUAUUGACAAGCGGGAAAUUGAACGAGUCACACGGCGUGUCUUGCGAGAGGCAGAGAGGGGAGAUGGCCAACAAGACCCCCGAACUAGCCAGGCUACCUCCGCUUUAUCGGCUGUGACCACCACUCCGACCAGGAAACUGCGAUCCAGAUCAAGCUUGGCCAUCACGAGCUCUGGCCCCGUUCUUCCUUCUGUCUGCAUGAUUUGCAAGAAAGACGGCAAAUUUAUCGUCGCGAGUGGCAGACGUCAAAGAGAACGAAAACACAGACUUUAACCGCAGGCAAGUUGCAGGAAGCAGCUGAAGUAAAGGAAGCCAAGAGCAUCCUCAUUCACAUCAAGGACAGAGACUGUGUGGCUCUGGAGGUGCAGUACCACAGAAGUUGCUACAGAGAGUACACAAGGUUUUUGAGUGAGCCUGUCAGAGCAGAGAAAGAACAGAUUGGGCCAACAUUUGAUCUGAGCUACAAGUUAUUCUGCGAGAGGGUAAUCCGCUAAAGGCUACUGAUCAACCAAGAGGUGCUGAGGAUGAGCCAACUGAGGAAGGCCUUUAUUGCCCUUGUGCAGUCAAGUGAAGGUGUUGAUGCUUCAACCUACAGGUAAUUGCAAGUCAGUGUAUUACGAAUUUGUCAAAUCCAAGGGAAAGUUCACGCAUGUGACUUAAAGGACCACUUCAGUCAAUUUCAAUAUGCUGUUGUAUUGCUCAUACCCUUAACUUGUCAGUACCCGGUGAUGGCACAUUUUUCGGCUCAGCCCUUUCCGAGAUAUGAGCUAUUCUAAUGGGGGCAGCAUUUGUUUACAUUGUUUACAACAUAGGCCUACUCCAAAUAUUUAAAGGGUGUCGCUGUUUGCUAGUUGUCGGCUGAUGUUGUAUAACCUUUUGGAUGUUUUUGGGAAUAAAUAAAAAUGUUUUUUGAAAUGUAAACAAAGCGCUGCCCUCAUUACAAUGACCAG